AGUCUCGUAGCUCAGCAGGUUAGAGCGUUACACUGAUAAUGUAGAGGUCGGCAGUUCGAGUCUGCCCGAGACUA
rnacentral:tRNA from 1 species